GUCCACGCCGUAAACGAUGGGCACUAGGCGUCGGGGGGAGCGACCCUCCCGGUGCCGUCGCUAACGCAAUAAGUGCCCCGCCUGGGGAGUACGGCCGCAAGGUUGAAACUCAAAGGAAUUGACGGGGGCCCGCACAAGCGGUGGAGCAUGUGGUUUAAUUCGAUGCAACGCGAAGAACCUUACCUGGGCUUGACAUGUACGUGAAAAGUCCGUGGAAAACACGGAUCCUCCUUCGGGACGCGUACACAGGUGCUGCAUGGCUGUCGU
rnacentral:rRNA from 1 species